rnacentral:rRNA from 1 species
UAGGGAAUCUUCCGCAAUGGGCGAAAGCCUGACGGAGCAACGCCGCGUGAGUGAUGAAGGUCUUCGGAUCGUAAAACUCUGUUAUUAGGGAAGAACAAAUGUGUAAGUAACUAUGCACGUCUUGACGGUACCUAAUCAGAAAGCCACGGCUAACUACGUGCCAGCAGCCGCGGUAAUACGUAGGUGGCAAGCGUUAUCCGGAAUUAUUGGGCGUAAAGCGCGCGUAGGCGGUUUUUUAAGUCUGAUGUGAAAGCCCACGGCUCAACCGUGGAGGGGCAUUGGAAACUGGAAAACUUGAGUGCAGAAGAGGAAAGUGGAAUUCCAUGUGUAGCAGUGAAAUGCGCAGAGAUAUGGAGGAACACCAGUGGCGAAGGCGACUUUCUAGUCUGUAACUGACGCUGAUGUGCGAAAGCGUGGGGAUCAAACAGG